rnacentral:rRNA from 1 species
UGCCUGUACCAUAACCGACACAGGUGGGUAGGUAGAGUAUACUAAGGGGCGCGAGAUAACUCUCUCUAAGGAACUCGGCAAAAUGACUCCGUAACUUCGGGAGAAGGAGUGCCUUAUUUAUAAGGUUGCAAUAACAAGAUCCAAGCAACUGUUUAUCAAAAACACAGGUCUCCGCUAAGUCGUAAGACGAUGUAUGGGGGCUGACGCCUGCCCAGUGCCAGAAGGUUAAAGAAGUUGGUUAGUGUAUGCGAAGCUGAUGACUGAAGCCCUGGUGAACGGCGGCCGUAACAAUAACGGUCCUAAGGUAGCGAAAUUCCUUGUCGGGUAAGUUCCGACCCGCACGAAAGGCGUAAUGAUUUGGAUACUGUCUCGGAGAGAGGCUCGGUGAAAUAGACUUGUCUGUGAAGAUGCGGACUACCUGCACCAGGACAGAAAGACCCUAUGAAGCUUUACUGUAACUUGAAAUUGGAAUUGGACUUUGCUUGCGCAGUAUAGGUGGGAAGCGUUGAAGAUAUUCUUGCGGGAGUAUUGGAGCUAUCAGUGAGAUACCACUCUUGUAAUGUUAGAUUUCUAACUUUGAACCAUAAUCUGGUCAAAGAACAGUUUCAGGUGGGCAGUUUGACUGGGGCGGUCGCCUCCCAAAUGGUAACGGAGGCGUACAAAGGUUUCCUCUGAACGGAUAGAAAUCGUAUCUAGAGUGUAAAGGCAUAAGGAAGCUUGACUGUGAGACCUACAAGUCGAGCAGGGACGAAAGUCGGUCUUAGUGAUCUGACGGUACUGAGUGGAAAGGCCGUCACUCAACGGAUAAAAGUUACUCUAAGGAUAACAGGCUGAUCUCCCCCAAGAGUUCACAUCGACGGGGAGGUUUGGCACCUCGAUGUCGGCUCAUCGCAUCCUGGGGCGGUAGUACGUCCCAAGGGUUGGGCUGUUCGCCCAUGAAAGCGGUACGCGAGCUGGGUUCAGAACGUCGUGAGACAGUUCGGUCCAUAUCCGGUGUAGGCGUUAGAAUAUUGAGAGGAGCCUUCUUUAGUACGAGAGGACCGAGAAGGACACACCGCUGGUGUACCAGUUAUCGUGCCAACGGUAAACGCUGGGUAGCUAUGUGUGGAGUGGAUAACCGCUGAAAGCAUCUAAGUGGGAAGCCCACCUCAAGAUGAUUGCUCUCACAGGGUUAACCUGGUAAGGUCACGGGAAGACCACCCGUUGAUAGGCACUCGGUGGAAGUCCAGCAAUGGAUGAAGCC